CGCGAAUCUGAUGAUGAUGCUGCAGUUUAGGAGACGCUUUCCUCAAGAAGUAAGUCUGUAGGAGUGAGACAGAGGAGGAUGCUGAGAGGGUGGAGGAGUUGGAGGCAAAUGGUUGGCGACAUUCCUCAUGAACAUUCAACCCUGUGCCGUGGGGAAGCAGAUUCUUAGCAGGCUUAAUGGUUAGGCUGUGGAUUUGGUUGGUGGGCUCUGCACUUACCCCCUGAGAAAAGUAGAAAGCAGCAAUGCCCAGAGGCCAGAAGCAACAGAGCAUGGAGAAGAUAGCGAGGCCCAGGUGAUCACGAGGAGGGAUGACGAUGAAGUUGUCCUCGCUCUCACUGUCGCUGGAGCAAUCUGUCUAUAACGAGAGAGAAGACUCAGUCAAAUUAUUUCAAUUUGGUGACUUUUUUUUUCAAGUGAUGUAUUUAUAGUCUGGAUUACAGGGUUUUUGGAA